rnacentral:rRNA from 1 species
GGUAGGGUAACGGCCUACCAAGGCGAUGAUGCAUAGCCGAGUUGAGAGACUGAUCGGCACAUUGGGACUGAGACACGGCCCAAACUCCUACGGGAGGCGGCAGUAGGGAAUCUUCCACAAUGGACGCAAGUCUGAUGGAGCAACGCCGCGUGAGUGAAGAAGGGUUUCGGCUCGUAAAGCUCUGUUGUUGGUGAAGAAGGACAGGGGUAGUAACUGACCUUUGUUUUGACGGUAAUCAAUUAGAAAGUCACGGCUAACUACGUGCCAGCAGCCGCGGUAAU